rnacentral:lncRNA from 1 species
AGGCUUCUUGAAGCUGCUCAUUGAGAAGGGCUUUUUCUGCACUCAUUUUCCAACUAGCAUUCCUAAUGGACUUUGCAAUCUCAUCAUGCUCCAUGAUCAACUUAUAUUUUUCAGAGAAGUAUUUUCUGUUCAUCUCCUCCAGAUGCUUUUGCAGAUCUUCUUCUCCAUUGCCACCCCUUCAAUAUUCAUUUUUAGUUUUCGAAGUUUUGCUUUGGCUUCGGCGGCAUCUUGCUGAGCCUGACAUACAUCUCUUUCAAGAGUUUCAAUUCAAAUUCUCAGAGGCAAGAC